rnacentral:rRNA from 1 species
GUCUAUGGCCAUACCACCCUGAAUGCACCCAGUCUUGUCUGAUCUUUGAAGCUAAGCAGGGUUGGUCCUGGUUAGUGCUUGGAUGGGAGACAAAAUAAUCUGAGCUAGUGCUUGGCU